rnacentral:misc_RNA from 1 species
GAUGAAGAACGUAGCGAAAUGCGAUAAGUAAUGUGAAUUGCAGAAUUCAGUGAAUCAUCGAAUCUUUGAACGCACAUUGCGCCCGCCAGGAUUCUGGCGGGCAUGCCUGUUCGAGCGUCAUUUCAACCAUCAAGCCCCCGGCGUGUGUUGGGGACCUGCGGCUGCCGCAGGCCCUGAAAUGCAGUGGCGGGCUCGCUGUCACUCCGAGCGUAGUAGUUACAUCUCGCUCUGGGCGUGCUGCGGGUUCCGGCCGUUAAAAGCCUUAUUUACCCAAGGUUGACCUCGGAUCAGGUAGGAAGACCCGCUGAACUUAAGCAUAUCAAUAAGCGGAGGA